rnacentral:rRNA from 1 species
UACGUAGGGUGCGAGCGUUAAUCGGAAUUACUGGGCGUAAAGCGUGCGCAGGCGGUUUUGUAAGCCAGAUGUGAAAUCCCCGGGCUUAACCUAGGAAUGGCAUUUGGGACUGCAAGGCUGGAGUUUGGCAGAGGAGACUGGAAUUCCCGGUGUAGCAGUGAAAUGCGUAGAUAUCGGGAGGAAUACCGAUGGCGAAGGCAGGUCUCUGGGCUAUAACUGACGCUCAUGCACGAAAGCGUGGGGAGCAAACAGG